rnacentral:rRNA from 1 species
AUGAACGCUGGCGGCGUGCUUAACACAUGCCAGUCGAACGAAGCAUUUAAGACAGAUUACUUCGGUUUGAAGUCUUUUAUGACUGAGUGGCGGACGGGUGAGUAACGCGUGGGUAACCUGCCUCAUACAGGGGGAUAGCAGCUGGAAACGGCUGGUAAUACCGCAUAAGCGCACAGUACCACAUGGUACAGUGUGAAAAACUCCGGUGGUAUGAGAUGGACCCGCGUCUGAUUAGCUUGUUGGCGGGGUAACGGCCCACCAAGGCGACGAUCAGUAGCCGACCUGAGAGGGUGACCGGCCACAUUGGGACUGAGACACGGCCCAGACUCCUACGGGAGGCAGCAGUGGGGAAUAUUGCACAAUGGAGGAAACUCUGAUGCAGCGACGCCGCGUGAGUGAAGAAGUAGUUCGCUAUGUAAAGCUCUAUCAGCAGGGAAGAUAGUGACGGUACCUGACUAAGAAGCUCCGGCUAAAUACGUG